UACGGAAGGCAGCAGUGGGGAAUAUUGCACAAUGGGCGCAAGCCUGAUGCAGCCAUGCCGCGUGUAUGAAGAAGGCCUUCGGGUUGUAAAGUACUUUCAGUCGUGAGGAAGGUGUUAAGGUUAAUAACCUUAGCAAUUGACGUUAGCGACAGAAGAAGCACCGGCUAACUCCGUGCCAGCAGCCGCGGUAAUACGGAGGGUGCGAGCGUUAAUCGGAAUUACUGGGCGUAAAGGGCACGCAGGCGGUUAAUUAAGUUGGAUGUGAAAUCCCCGGGCUUAACCUGGGAAUGGCAUUCAAGACUGGUUAGCUAGAGUCUUGUAGAGGGGGUAGAAUCCCAUGUGUAGCGGUGAAAUGCGUAGAGAUGUGGAGGAAUACCGGUGGCGAAGGCGGCCCCUGGGACAAAGACUGACGCUCAUGUGCGAAAGCGUGGGGAGCAAACGAGGAUUAGAUACC
rnacentral:rRNA from 1 species